AAAUAUAGCAAUCACAUUGCAAUUCACCAUGAAAAUUCACCUAAGAGUUAUGUUGUCUUCAUAUGAAAUAGAAUUAAAGUGAAUGAAUGAAGACUACAGUACCCUGAACUGAGGUCCUGGGAUUAACUAAAGAGCAAGAGCUUGUAAAGCCAACAGUUGAGGUUCUUCAGUGUAUAUUAUAUAUGGCCAUCUCAUCAGAUAAACUUAAAAGGAUCUCUGUCAUCUUCUCCUAGUGCUCCCUGGAGAAUAGAUGGUCAAAAAGUGAACUGUUUUUCUGGUUGCCAAUCACAUCCAAUUCUUGAGUCUGUGCACUGCCUACACAACCACUGCUGUUGCUUCAAACAAGCAGUCCUAAGUGCAGUGAAAAAGUAUUUUUGUCAGUGAAAUGCUGUCUAUGGAAUCAUGGAUAAACCCACAUUUUCCUCAACCAGCUUCUUCUAUGGAA